AUGACUGACUCUGUGUGUUUGCAUAUGUGUCCUGCCUCUCUGCUCACAGCUGUUAAGAGGCCAGUGUUGAUCAGUGGCUGUCCAGGCCUUUCAGAGCCACUCACACACCAGCAGCACAAUGAUGAUGUCACUGACUCUACUGCUGGCCACCCUGGGGCUCCUUGUUCAGGGUUCAUCAGCAGAAAUCAUCCUGACUCAGACUCCUAAAGCUCAGUCUGUUGUUCCAGGACAGACUGUCUCUUUCAGAUGUAAAUCCAGUACAACUAUAGGUGAUGACAUUAACUGGUACCUUCAGAAAUCUGGAAAAACUCCUAAACUCCUGAUCUAUGAUACUACAGAGCGUCAGUCUGGAGUUCCAGAUCGUUUUCGUGCAACAGCAGUUCAGACUGACUUCACUCUGAUCAUCAGUGGAGUUCAAACUGAAGAUGCUGGAGUUUAUUACUGUCAGCAGCACAACAGCUUCCCGUUCACACAGUGAUACAACGCCGUACAAAAACCUCAAACAGCUGAAGAGGAACUGAUCAACAGCUGUAGUCACACAAUAUACCAUAAAAUAUAGAAUUUUAAAUACAGCGACAUAACAAUCUGAUCAGAUGGGUUAACAUAAACAACACAAAUUUUAAACAUUUUUUUUUCAUAUAUUUUACAUUUGCUAUAUUAAACCAAUGUGUCAAAAGUUUUUAAUAAAUACUUUUUAAAACUUU